rnacentral:rRNA from 1 species
AUUGAACGCUGGCGGCAGGCUUAACACAUGCAAGUCGAGCGGAGAGAGGUAGCUUGCUACUGAUCUUAGCGGCGGACGGGUGAGUAAUGCUUAGGAAUCUGCCUAUUAGUGGGGGACAACAUUUCGAAAGGAAUGCUAAUACCGCAUACGUCCUACGGGAGAAAGCAGGGGAUCUUCGGACCUUGCGCUAAUAGAUGAGCCUAAGUCGGAUUAGCUAGUUGGUGGGGUAAAGGCCUACCAAGGCGACGAUCUGUAGCGGGUCUGAGAGGAUGAUCCGCCACACUGGGACUGGGACACGGCCCAGACGCCUACGGGAGGCAGCAGUGGGGAAUAUUGGACAAUGGGCGGAAGCCUGAUCCAGCCAUGCCGCGUGUGUGAAGAAGGCCUUAUGGUUGUAAAGCACUUUAAGUGAGGAGGAGGCUACUUUAGUUAAUACCUAGAGAUAGUGGACGUUACUCGCAGAAUAAGCACCGGCUAACUCUGUGCCAGCCGCCGCCGUAAUAC